UGGUGGAGUGAUUUGUCUGCUUAAUUGCGAUAACGAACGAGACCUUAACCUGCUAAAUAGCCCGCAUUGCUCCGGCAGUGCGCUGGCUUCUUAGAGGGACUUUCGGCUCAAGCCGAAGGAAGUUUGAGGCAAUAACA
rnacentral:rRNA from 1 species